rnacentral:rRNA from 1 species
GAUCAUGGCUCAGGAUGAACGCUAGCUACAGGCUUAACACAUGCAAGUCGAGGGGCAGCAUGGUCUUAGCUUGCUAAGGCCGAUGGCGACCGGCGCACGGGUGAGUAACACGUAUCCAACCUGCCGUCUACUCUUGGACAGCCUUCUGAAAGGAAGAUUAAUACAAGAUGGCAUCAUGAGUUCACAUGUUCACAUGAUUAAAGGUAUUCCGGUAGAGAUGGG